rnacentral:rRNA from 1 species
UGGGGAAUAUUGGACAAUGGGGGGAACCCUGAUCCAGCCAUGCCGCGUGUGUGAAGAAGGCCUUAUGGUUGUAAAGCACUGUAAGCGAGGAGGAGGGUACUGGUAUUAAUACUACCAGCUACUGGACGUUACUCGCAGAAUAAGCACCGGCUAACUCUGUGCCAGCAGCCGCGGUAAUACAGAGGGUGCGAGCGUUAAUCGGAUUUACUGGGCGUAAAGCGUGCGUAGGCGGCUAAUUGAGUCGGAUGUGAAAUCCCCGAGCUUAACUUGGGAAUUGCAUUCGAUACUGGUUAGCUCGAGUGUGGGCGAGUAUGGUAGAAUUCCAGGUGUAGCGGUGAAAUGCGUAGAGAUCUGGAGGACUACCGAUGGCGAAGGCAGCCAUCUGGCCUAACACUGACGCUGAGGUACGAAAGCGUGGGGAGCAAACAGG